UCAACAUUUCAUUCAACCUAGAAACAAACUUGUUUUUCAAUGAAUGACGAACAAACAACUGUAGAAGAAAAAUAUAUUAUAUUUCUUCUAUCAAGUACCCAAAAAACACCAAAACCCAAAAUGACAAACCAACAAAAUAACCAAGAAAAUAACCAACCCCAAAAUACGAACACGUUAAACAAAGGAAGAACAUACCUUGUUCGAAGAACCAAUGUCAGCGGUCGAAUCCAUUGCACACAAAAAUGAAGAGAGAACAAGAAACUUUAAACAAGCCUUUGACGGAGAUAGGUGAACGAAGAUCACGAACUCCACAAAACCAACAAGGCACGCAGUGCACAAAACCAACACAGAAAUUGAAAUGAAAAUGAAAGCCCUAAAAUGGAGGAGGGAAAAGAGAGUGCUAUGGAGAGAGAAUGUAAAUUUGAAAAUGAAAUCCCUAGGAAUGAGAAGAGAGUGUUAUGGAGAGAGGAUAGAGUGGGAAAAUGAAGCAGGGGCACUUUCGGAAUACAAUCUUGAACCCUGUCUAAAUCAGAUUUUUAAAUUAAAAAAAAAAAAAACAUUCAAAAUGAACCAAUUAAAAUUUGACACGUGGCGUUGUCAAAUUUUUGUCAAAUUCUCGUUGUUAGAAUAUCACGAUCCCUACAAAUAAUAUGUUAUAUAAUAACUUAAAUGUGUUAUCUUGGAUAAUAUCACUCACUUUGGUGUCACAUAGUUUCUGACAUGUUGUCAUUCUUUAAGAGUAUCCACACAAUUUUAAUAGUAAAAAUUAUAUUGUUCCAUAUAAACUUAGACUAAUUAGAACUAUAUUUGAGAUUGAAUAAAUUUUGAUAACAACAAAACGUAUAAGGAAAUAAAAAAGAUAUAA
rnacentral:lncRNA from 1 species